AAAAAAGAUGAAUACAAAUAGCUUUUAUUAUUGACUGUUGAUAUUUAUAGCAUAGUAUUUUACACUCUUUGUGAUGGAAUUUUGUGUCAGUUGCGUUUCAGUAAAUUUUUGUAUUUUUGUUGCAGUUCGCUGCAACUUAAGUUUUAGCAUUACGGUAUAAAACCCAAGCGCAUUUUAAAACGGUAGAAGCGUUUAAAACAACACAACUUAUAUCACAACCAUGUCCCGUCCGCGAACGUGAAGACCCUAUGCGCACAUU